rnacentral:rRNA from 1 species
AUUGAACGCUGGCGGCAGGCCUAACACAUGCAAGUCGAACGAGUGGCGGACGGGUGAGUAAUGUCUGGGAAACUGCCUGGUAGCGGGGGAUAACUUCUGGAAACGGGCGCUAAUACCGCAUACUAUCAGAUGACCCCAGGUGGGAUUAGCUAGUUGGUGGGGUAAAGGCCUACCAAGGCGACGAUCCGUAACUGGUCUGAGAGGAUGAUCAGACACACUGGAACUGAGACACGGUCCAGACUCCUACGGGAGGCAGCAGUGGGGAAUAUUGGACAAUGGGCGAAAGCCGGAUCCAGCCAUGCCGCGUGAAUGAAGAAGGCCUUCGGGUUGUAAAGUACUUUCGGCAGGGAGGCGUUACCCGCAGAAGAAGCACCGGCUAACUCCGUGCCAGCCGCCGCGGUAAUUC